UUUUAGAAAUAAGAAAUUAAUCUUAGUUUAGUGAAUGUUGAAGCGGGUUUUAUAUUUGAAACUUGAAAUUUAAGAUUUAUACAAGUGUGAAUAUAAAAAAGAACAUAGUGCUUAAAAGUCAGCGGAAAACACAAAACUCAGCAACAAAUAGUGUAAUAGUGAUGAAGCUCACGCGGUUUCAACUUUCAACAUGUAAAAAGUGUUUCUGCUUUUUGCGUCUUUUACUUUCACUGGUUCAAAAGAAUAAUAAUUCACUAUAAAAACUAAAAAUUUGUCCACCCUUAUGAUUUUACCUCUUUAAUACUUUCCAUAGACUUUCAUUUUCAUGUCGGCAUAUUAAUACAUACUUUCACAAAACUGUUAUAUAUAUAUGUAUAGAUAUCGCGUGAACCACAUUAUAUCAUGAGCAAAAAAGUUCCUCCAUUUUAGAAUUCGUUUAUAAUUCAAUUAAAAAAAGCUAAAUAUCUAAACAAUUAUUUUAAAAACAUUUUGUCUACAAAAAAAAUAAGAAUUUCAAAAAGUUUUUAAAAGGGAGAGGCGGAAAGUUUUGUGACAAAAACAACUUUCGGAUAAAAAGAAAUUUUAAAUAUUAUUAAAAAGACAACGAAAACAAACAGUCUCCUCCUCCUUGAGGGACGUCUGAAAAGCCGAGAAGAAGAAGAAGAAGACAAGUGUUGUUGUGAUAGUUUGAUUCAUCCUUCUAAAAAAUCCGAUCACCUCACCUCGACAUUUAAGCCAUCAUCAUCAUCAAAUGGGAGCUCAUUGCUCUAAGUUCUCUUCUUGUUUGUUCCAUUCCAACUUCAAAUCCUCUUCAGUCCUCGAAUCUCCCGAUCUCGAAAAUGGAGGGAAAUUGUGGCCGAGUUUCAAGGAAUUCAGAUUAGAGCAGCUGAAAUCUGCGACCGGCGGUUUCUCCUCAGACAACAUUGUGUCGGAACACGGCGAGAAAGCUCCCAACAUUGUUUACAGAGGAAGACUUGACGAUGGCCGUUUAAUCGCCGUCAAACGCUUUAACCGCCUCGCCUGGGCCGAUCACCGACAGUUCCUGGAUGAAGCGAAAGCUGUUGGGAGCUUGAGGAGCGAUCGCCUUGCGAAUCUGAUAGGAUGCUGUUACGAAGGCGAGGAGAGGCUACUCGUUGCUGAGUUUAUGCCUCACGAAACUCUUGCAAAGCAUCUUUUUCACUGGGAGAAUCAUCCGAUGAAAUGGGCGAUGAGACUAAGAGUUGCUUUGUGUUUAGCGCAAGCAUUGGAGUAUUGUUGUGAUAAAGGGAGAGCUUUGUAUCAUGAUCUCAAUGCUUACAGGGUUUUGUUUGACAAGGAUGGGAAUCCGAGGUUGUCUUGCUUUGGUCUCAUGAAAAAUAGCAGAGAUGGCAAGAGUUAUAGCACAAACUUGGCAUUUACUCCUCCAGAGUAUCUACGAACUGGUAGAGUGACACCAGAGAGUGUAGUAUUCAGUUUUGGAACUGUUUUGCUUGAUCUCAUGAGUGGUAAACAUAUUCCACCAAGCCAUGCGCUUGACCUGAUCAAGGGAAAGAACUGUGCAAUGCUAAUGGACUCUGCUCUCGAGGGUCACUUCUCAAACGAAGAUGGAACUGAGCUAGUACGGUUAGCCACACGUUGUCUGCAGUACGAAGCUCGAGAAAGGCCAAAUGUGAAGUCUCUCCUCACUUCACUCACUCCACUCCAGAAGGAAACUGACGUACCUUCAUAUGAUCUUAUGGGUAUACCCCAUGAAACCAAGGACGAGGAAGAGCAGCAGCUUUCAUUGACCCCCUUUGGUGACGCUUGUUUAAGAGUAGAUCUUACGGCUAUACACGAAAUAAUUAGUAAGAUGGGAUACAAGGAUGAUGAAGGAAUCGCUAACGAGCUCUCAUUUCAAAUGUGGACUAACCAGAUGCAGGAAUCCCUCAAUUAUAAGAAGAAUUGUGACGUAGCUUUCCGUUCCAAAGACUAUACAACCGCAGUCCAUUUCUACACUCAGAUAAUAUCUGCAUACCAACAAGGAGUAGACGUAGUGACUAAAACUCUUAGAUCAAGUAAUACAGGUCUAAAAGAUCAUAGAUUCGCUUUUUUUGUGGGGAGAGAUCGACUCUUCUAAAAAGAGUUAAUUUAACAUGGUCUUGGCAUCACCCUACGGGGAUAGACGGACCUAGGGCAUAAAACUUCUUAGUCAUUUAAAAAAAAUCUUCAUCUACAAAUACCGAAGACCCUUUUUUUUUCUUUUUUUUUUCUUUUUUUUUUCAGUUAUUGAAACUCAAAAUAACUGGUUUGUCUAAAAAGAGUUAAUUUUUCAGUUUAACUACUUGUAAGCACCGUGCACUCUCCACUUUGAGUAUGACUUUGUAGAGUCGAUUCCUCGAUCUUCUUGCUUUCACUAGUGACUUUCCAUAUCUAUCGUAUAACAUUAAGUGAUCCUCCUUCAUACGGACAUCACACCAUGGUUCUGUUGCUCGACCGAGAGAUAUAAUAUUGCUUAUAAGGUCUGGGAUAUAGUAGAUGCAUUCAGUAUUUUCUGCUCACCGGUCUUGGUUAGAAAGAGGAUGUAACCUUUUCCUUUUAUAUUUAUUGGAGAGUCUUCUCCAAAUUUCACUUGUCCUGUUACUUUCUCAUCAAGUCUCGAAAAAUAGCUAAGGUUUCCAGUCAUGUGUUGCCUGGCUCUGUUGUCUAAGUACCACAUAUUUUUUCCAUCUACGCUGGUUUCGAGCUUGCUUGGUGUGGUGUUGUUUUCAUUGAGAUAUACGACUCCGUGCAUUAAUUUUCAGCCUCCUGCGUGGUGUCAUCCUCAUUCUCAUGAGUUUCUUCAAGUUUUAACAACCCAUCAGGACAUGAGGAAGCAUAAUGGCCGGUCUUUUCACACCUGUAACACACAACCUUUGAUAGAUCGAUAUUUGGUCUGUAAUUACCAUAUUGCUGGUAUCCAUAAAGCCCUCGGCCUCUUCCUCAAUACUGAAAUCGCCGGCCUCUGCCUCUUCCUCUGCUUGAUUCGUACCUCUCUUGGUACUGCUGCGACUAUGUAUUCACAUACAUAAGCUUACUCUGACCUUGAUCUUCUUGUUUCUCUUCUUCCUCUUCGAAGAUUCUUUCUUCAUACGCCUUUAGCCUACUCACAAUAUCUUCAAAGCUGGUUUUGUUCAGGUCAAGAACAUGUUCAAGUGCAGCUAUGAUGUGGAUAUACUUAUUCCUUGGUAGACUGUUAAGAAACUUCUUAACAAGCUUUGGUUCUUUGAUAGUCUCCCCCAAUGCCGCAGACUUUGAUGACAAUUCCGAAAGCCUUCCGACAAAGCUAUCAAUGGAGUCGGUUUCUUUCAUAUUUAUCAUGUCGAAAUCCACCACUAAUGUCUGUAAUCUAGCCUCCUUAACUCGAUCAGUACCCAUAUGUCUUGUCUUUAUGGUUUCCCAAACUGCUUUCGCAGUUUCUAGGUUUCUGACUUGUAGUAUUAAAGAUUAUGGUAUGGAUUGGAGUAGAAGAGCUCUUGCCAUAGUAUUAUUUUCUCAUUCAUCUUCUCCUGGAUCAAUUGUCUCCCAUACUUUGUAAACCUUUAAAGCUACCUUCAUCCGUAUCGUCCAUACGGUGUAGUUGGUGUCGUUGAGAAGAGGACAUUGUAUCGUCGAAGAGCUACUCCCCUUCGAACUGCUAUUUUCUGCAACGAUCUCCCCCAUAUGUUUGAUUCAGUAUAAUGAUUUGAUACCAAUUAUUGAAUCAAACUCUCAAUAAUCUUUUAACCAAAACUCUUUAUUAAACACUCAAUGCUUUAGAAAAUCACUCAAAACUAAAGCUCUCAAAACUCAUAUGUUAUGUCACACUUUGACAUCUCCAUAUAUAUAAUAGGUCCUAAACACACUAGAUAUACAAUGUUUAGAGAACUCCUAAACACCUAAAUGAAUUACCUUAAAAUAUAGAUAAAUGAAUUACCUUAAAAUAUUAAUAUAUUUGUAUUGAGAAAUCCGUUUAAUAAAAACCACCAUUAAUGAUAGUUUUUAUUUCGUGUUCCCUCUCUUAUUCUAUAUGCACAUCACGUGGGUGUAAGAUAUGCAUAUAUAUCAUGAAUUAUGAUGAUGGUGAUUUAUGGUGUCUCUAGAUGCAAUCAUAUAAGGGGGAAUUAAAUCUAAGUUUCAGUUCAUAGAAUUGAAUCAUUCAGUAAAAUAUAUUUACAAUUGCAAACUCAAACUUGAAACACAAAUGAAUUUACGAUGGGUAAUUUUUCAAAUAGCAUUUCUUAAGUUUUUGUCACAAAAAUAACAUUCAAAAAAUAAAAUGAUCAAAAUAG